rnacentral:rRNA from 1 species
AUUGAACGCUGGCGGCGUGGAUUAGGCAUGCAAGUCGUGCGCGAUGAGUUUGGUGCUUGCAUUAAACUCUGAAAGCGGCGAAAGGGAGAGUAACGCGUGGAUCAUCUACCCUCGGGUCUGGGAUAGCUGCGGGAAACUGCAGGUAAUACCGGAUGAUGUCCCUGGACCAAAGGUGCAAUUCCGCCUGAGGAUGAGUCCGCGUCCUAUUAGCUAGUUGGUGGGGUAAUGGCCCACCAAGGCAAAGAUGGGUACCGGGUGUGAGAGCAUGGCCCGGCUCACUGGGACUGAGACACUGCCCAGACACCUACGGGUGGCUGCAGUCGAGAAUCUUCCGCAAUGGACGAAAGUCUGACGGAGCGACGCCGCGUGCGGGAUGAAGGCCUUGGGUUGUAAACCGCUGUCAGAAGGAGGAAAUACAUAAGGGUUCUCUCUUAUGUUUGACCGAUCUUCAGUAGGAAGUCCGGGCUAAGUUCGUGCCAGCA